UCGAUCGGCGCUCGAGACCAACUGACGAACAGUCAGCUAAACAGGCAAAGCAAAGUCAGUCAGGCUUCACCGAAGACCAAGCUGAUGCUGCGCACACAAAUUGCCGCAUGAGCUCGAAAUGCUCCUACCUCCUUACCUACGCACAUAUCAUUCCUUACAUCGGUUAGGCUCAGCUAAACCCAUUCAAGUUAUGCCUGCAUAUCCAACUUACAGAUUCUCGCGAACUGGUUCCAUCGCCAUGCUGGGACAGUGGGUAGUUGUUGCUGUUGUGUUCAGAAGGCUAGCAAUUUCGUAUUCUUAUUUUUAUUUCGUCUUGCUUAUUUUUCAGUUCAUUUUAUAAACGCGCGUUCCUCCCGCCUCAUUCUUGCGAUGCAUGCACAUACACACACAUACAUAUGUAUACAUGUGCAUGCUCCUUGGCCGAUUUUUCUAAGGGAAAAGAUUCUUAACUUGCUGCAGCCUAAACCACAUUCUCAAAAUAGUUGUAGGAAUGUCAGAAAAGUUUUUGGACCAAAUUUUUCAUCCUGUUCAACCGUCAACAAGCCCGUCUUGUGGAGCGACGGAUUAUCUAAAUUAUCUUUAGUUGACCAAAACUGCAGCAUUACGAGGCGAAAAUGAAGCUAACCAGGCUCUGAAUUUGAAUAGAAAAACAUUCUAUUCUGCAUUUCUGACAUACAUACACUUACCUGUACAUAUGUAUGUAUGUAUAAAAACGCCUGUUCGUAGCCAUUCACGGGGAAGAGCGAAGCUUUGAAAUGAUUGGAAUUUUUAUUUUGCCCCAAAAUCACUUGGGGAAUUACCAAUGAACGCCGUAAAUGCAAACAAUUCGCGAAGAAUUUUCUAUAAUGCUGUAUGCGGGCAGGCAUGUAUGUAUGUAUGUUUUGUUGUGUGUGCACAUUGUCAACUACAUAUUUACGCAUUUGUAUCCAUACACAUACACACAUACACAUUUCCAGCGUCAAGUAAUACGGCCAAAUGCGAACAAAGUAAAGCGAAUUCAAAUUAAAACAUAUCUCCACAUUUCGCAUGCAAACAUAUCAACAUGUGUGCAUAUGUGUAUGUAUGUAUGUAUGUUCAUAUGCUUAAAAACAAAUGUACAUAUGAAAUAAGGUAAACAGCAUAAAUACCGAAACUUGUUUUGGCUACCAAACGCGUACGAGCCGCGAGAGCUGAGCAAUCGAUGACGGCGCAGAGCUUUGGGGGGAGGGAAGCAGCCAAAGCUCCACAAUACCAACGGCUAAAGAGCGCUGGAACACUGGAUCGGUCGAUCGGUCGAUCGUUCGAUUGUCGAUUUAUUGAAUCGUUUGUUGCCCAUACUGGCUGGAAUGACUGAAAUAAAGUGAAAUUCACGAUGCACCAAAUACCAUUGAAUGCGAAUUCGCGCUGCAAUGCCAAAGUGCGCAGAGCAACAUACCAAAUCAAACCGAAACCAAGCUCAACCCAACUCACAUACUCGCAUCUAGAGCCAGGAGUCUUGCGCCAGUUUUACAGUGUGCAUUUCGAAAUAGUUGAAAUGAGCCCUAAUGAGGGGGCCGUCGUAUCAAUUCGUAAAAUAAACUCUUUGUAUUGAAACGUUGUUGGAAAAUAAGUAAGACGAGUUUCUUUAAACUUUGCUUCAAUUGCACUUACCGCAUAUUUUUAAUGAUAUUUAGAAAAUAUACUUUUUAUAUUCUUUACAUUUGGAAAAUACUAAACGAGGGCGUAAAAAAUCAUAAUUUACGUAUAUCUAUGUAAUUAUGUAUAUAUGCUGCGUGUACGUAGAAAUCAUACAACCUCACGUACGUACAUCCAUCCCCAUAACCUACUCAUACGCAUAUACUUACAUAUGUACAUAUGUAUAUAAAGGUAUUUAUGUAUGCCUGUCAUUGCUGCUACUGCAUCACGCUUUUGCUGCUGAACUGCGCAUACGCAACACAUGACAAACGUCAAGGAGACGGGCUGGCCUUAGUCCCCCAUUUCUUUUGUUUGCUUUGCCAUUUCUGCAGCUACUCUGUGCCUUGUACGCUUCGCCCUCUGGCUGGCGACUCUGGAUCUAAAAAUCAAAGAAAAACACCAAUUGCUGCACAGUAGCAGUUUCAUGUUAAUGCGCUUCGAUAUUGCAGCGAAAUGCUUACAACAAGGCAUCAGGCGCAGCAUUUCAGUUCGCAAGCACAUACAACGUCUCCCAAUUGGGACAAGUCGACAUGAGCAAUAAUUGAGACUUUCGCAGAUUUAAAAAAUCGUAGGCCUGAAGAGGUAGCAGAAAAAACCACUAUUUGUCCUUUGCCUUGCCGAAAAACUGAAAAUUAUCGCUUUGCCGUUUUUGAAAAGACUUUUAGAUUAAAAGAGAAUCCAGAUUCUAGCAGUAGCAGUUCGCUUAGCCAGAACCAUGUUUGAAACGUCAUCAUACUGACGGCUUUGCCAACUAAGCGAAGGCUUUGUAAAUAUUUCCGACGUGCGAUGGAGCAACUGUUGCAAGAAUCCACAUGCAGUAGCGCAAAGCUGCUCAGAUUUAUGGUAUGUCUCCAUGGACCCUUAAACAGACCAGUCCGAAAUGGUUCCUCUAAAACUACUUAUUUUUCAGAUCUCCUCCAAGACCGACUAAUAUUACGAAUAAACACCCUGUAGGCGCAACCUUGAACUAUCGCGCCGUCAUGGCAACGGAAAAGGCCAAACAAAAGUUUUCAUUUACUAGCAUUUCCGAAGCUUUUACGAACACAAUAUCUGUUUAUUAAAUGUGGGAACACAAAGUAGAUAAAUAAUACAUUUUCGGUUAGCAGUUUUGAAGUUGGUUAAAUCAAUAAUGUCUGAAGUCAGAGGAGCCAAUUGAAUUUAAAGAGCGAUUGAAGCAGCAACCACUUCACAUAAAAAAGAAAUCGAGCAGAGGAAACCUAGAACAGGCAACAAUCAGAGCGGCAAUUGUACGAAAAGCAAAACGCCUUCAAAACGAAAAAAGCGCACACAGUCGGUAGGAUGACGACAGCAGUUCCUUUGGCUCCAUUGGCAGCGCUCCCCUCAACGCGCAUGCUGAUGGGCACAGCCAGCAACAUAAGUUUAGCUUGUGCGAAUGCCACGACAGCCAUGGCGUCACUUUCAAUACAGCAGACACAUUCGCAGUCCCAGCCGGAGUUGGAGCCGCAGCUGCCGCCGACGAUAACAAUAGCCGCACUCGAGUGGCAGUAUUUUCAAGCGGUUUCACUGUUUCGGCGGCGAAAAUAUGAAAAAUGCGUUGAGGUGUGCAAUGGCAUGUUGCGCACUGGCCAUGAAACGAAUGUGCAAAUGUUUACCUCUUCGUCGGAGAGCCACGAGGCCGAUGCACAGUACAGUAGGGGAGUUGGCGGCAGCGGCAGCAUAGUCAGGAACAAUAACAACAGCAACAACCUGAAUCUCACAAGCGGCUCAAGGCAGGGGCGAAGCCACAACCAAAACUUCAAAAGCAACAACACGAAAUAUGGUAAUACCAAUGGUAAUAACAAUAAAGUGAGCAUGCCCACGUGGAUGAUGGAGGGCGUAUGGCAAUUAAAAAUGCGCGCGCUUACCCAGCGCGUCUACAUCGACGAUCUGGAGACGGACGAUGCCUUCGAGGGGGAGAAUGAGGAAGUGGAGUUGGAGCGAAUUGCCACAGCCGCCCGGCCAGGUACCUCAAUUAAAACAGCAUUCAUACCACGACCAACUACAAGCACGCUGCGAGCUCACACCAUAGCUGCAAAAAGAAAUGACCUACCAAUGAGUGAAGGGAGCCGCACUGCGACCGAGCAGAGCAGUAAGAGCAUUAGACCCAAAUCGGGUAUGGUACGGCCGGGUACUGCUACCUCUCGACCUGGUUCUUCAAUGGGUAGCCGUACAGCAUCACGAUGUGGUACUGCUUCGCGCAUUCGCGCUUCUUCUGCCGCCGCAUAUACGGUGGGUGAUGUUACCGCGAAACUGUAUCAAGCUUCACGCCUCAAUCCCACGAUAUACGCCGAACGAGAGGCACUUAUUAAAGCACUUUUUCAAUUCCUCUACUAUCACGAAUCGGAUGUUCAAAAAGCAUAUUCACUUUGCGAAGCUGUCAUGGAGGUGCACAAACAAAAGCGAACUUCUGGUUCCACUCGUUCGGGGGCACCAGUUGAUUGGUGGUGGGAUCAGCAAAUAGGCCGAUGUCUGCUUAUAUUACGCUCUCCACGAAAAGCGGAAACAUUUCUCGUGCAAUCAUUGGCAGUAUUUCCGCAUCCUGAUACGUUUUUACUGCUAUCACGAUUAUAUCAACGUCUGGAUGAACCCGAACGUGCACUCGAACUCAUCGGUAUGGCUGUAGACCGACAUCCGUUCAAUGUCACAUUUCGUAUCGAACAAGGGCGUAUUUUUGAUGCUCUAUCCAAACCCGAUAGUGCCAUGCAAAUAUAUCGUCUCAUUACCAAGCUUAAUCCUAUAAAUGUCGAAGCACUAGCCUCAAUUGCUUUGAAUCAUUUUUACGAUGGAAAUCCUGAGAUGGCCCUUAUGUACUACAGGCGAAUUCUAGCUUUGGGAAUUCACUCGGCAGAACUUUAUUGUAAUAUUGCAUUGUGUUGCUUGUAUGGGGGACAAAUCGAUCUGGUACUUCCUUGUUUUCAGCGAGCUCUGCUGCUGUCCAAGACUACCAAUGAAAAAGCGGAUAUAUGGUACAACAUGAGUUUUGUCGCAUUGUCAACUGGUGAUUUUCAUUUGGCUCGUCGAUGUCUUCAGCUAUGUCUAACAGCGGAUGCGUGCAGCGGCGCCGCCCUUAAUAACUUGGCUGUACUAGCAGCGCACUCUGGCGAUCUGAUGCGCGCCAAAUCGUACCUGCAGGCAGCAAAGGAAGUGCUGAGAGACAGUCCGGAAAUCAACAGUAAUUUAAAAUACAUGCAAGCCCAUUACAAACUCUAACGUAUGAGCGUGAAAACUACAAAAGUUUCACUAGGACAGGCACCGCCCUAAUCUAGCAUACAUUGAAGUUGAUGUUAAGGAUCUGCAACCAGGCAUAUAUAGCUCCGAAACCCACGUGACUGACAGCGCUAGCCUCCACAAUAGUUAACUGUUGCCGAAUUUCCUUUUGAAGCUUCUAAAAAAAAAUAAAGAAAAUAGGAAUAUAUGCAAAUUAUUGUCUUAAGUACAGAUUGUCGUAACAAAUGAUAGGAGCUUAUAAACUAAUCGAAAUGCUUAAAGUGAUGCUACAGCACGGUCUUGAAAGAGUGUGUCUGAACUUCUAGUUAUACUUUUUGAAUCGAAAUACAGAGUUCUCACGGAU